AUAGAAGAAAAACCCUGAAGAAAUCCAGAUGCAGCAAAGGGAGAAAGUGGACCUGGCAUGUACAUGUCAGCAGCUCUAAAUAAUGACACACGACCUAAGACUAGGACGGAAAUAGAGGCGGCUAUGAGAAUUAAAAUGGGAGUGGGAGAGCAUUGCUGUGUAGAAAGAAUCAUGUAGAAAAAUUUGUAUUGAGAGUUUAUUUUUGUGGGGAAUACUGGCCUCUCAUAUUAGUCAGCUUAGUAUUUUCAUCUUCGUAUUGGAGUGUGUUUUUUCUUAAGCAGUUUCCAGUUUAUUCCUAUUGACAGCAUUGUAAUGAAAUGAAUUGAGGAGUGAUUGAAUAUUACAUUGAUAAAUGAAAGAAACAUUUUCUGAUAACAUUCUGUGCUGCCCCCUAUUUUUCUACCAUUACAUUGCUUCAUUUUGGUAGGUUGAUGCUGUGAAUUGAAAUUUGCUUGCUGGAGUAGUGAUUCUGUUGUGGACUUGUUGAUUGUGCUCUUGGGUGGUGGAGGAGAAAGGGUCUGAAGUGUUGGAACAAGGCCGAGUAGAGAGACUUAAGAUCAACUUAAGUUGGACAGAGGCUGUAGAAAUUGCAGCAGCUGCCUUUUCACUGGUGUGCAGCGUUGACAUGUUGGAGUGCUUGUAUGUCCAUGGACAAGAAAUGAAAAUUUUCAGACACCUGUCUAUUGGUGAUUAACAGCUGCAGAGGGCCUUCAAACAUAGCUCUUUUUCACCACUGAGAAGACAAGGUUAGCUCAUAUCUUUCUAUUUGUGUGCCUCGUCUGUACUUAUGUAAAUCUGCUUCUUUAUUUCAUGCCCUUCUUCAAUUCUAUUUGUCACAUUGUUUCUGAGAAUGUGAGGAAGCCAGGAAAUAUUGCAAACGGGGUAGGAAGUCCACCAAACUAACAACUCAAUCUUUCUAAGAAAUUGGAAAAACAAUACUCAU